AAAGAUUAAGCCAUGCAUGUCUAAGUAUAAGCAAUUUAUACGGUGAAACUGCGAAUGGCUCAUUAAAUCAGUUAUCGUUUAUUUGAUAGUGCCUUACUACAUGGAUACCUGUGGUAAUUCUAGAGCUAAUACAUGCUGAAAACCCCGACUUCGGAAGGGGUGUAUUUAUUAGAUAAAAAACCAACGCCCUUCGGGGCUCCUUGGUGAAUCAUAAUAACUUAACGAAUCGCAUGGCCUUGCGCCGGCGAUGGUUCAUUCAAAUUUCUGCCCUAUCAACUUUCGAUGGUAGGAUAGUGGCCUACCAUGGUGGCAACGGGUAACGGGGAAUUAGGGUUCGAUUCCGGAGAGGGAGCCUGAGAAACGGCUACCACAUCCAAGGAAGGCAGCAGGCGCGCAAAUUACCCAAUCCCGAUACGGGGAGGUAGUGACAAUAAAUACUGAUACGGGGCUCUUUUGGGUCUCGUAAUUGGAAUGAGAGCAAUUUAAAUCCCUCACCGAGGAACAAUUGGAGGGCAAGUCUGGUGCCAGCAGCCGCGGUAAUUCCAGCUCCAAUAGCGUAUAUUAAAGUUGUUGCAGUUAAAAAGCUCGUAGUUGAACCUUGGGCCCGGCUGGCCGGUCCGCCUCACCGCGAGUACUGGUCCGGCUGGGCCUUUCCUUCUGGGGAACCUCAUGGCCUUCACUGGCUGUGGGGGGAACCAGGACUUUUACUGUGAAAAAAUUAGAGUGUUCAAAGCAGGCCUUUGCUCGAAUACAUUAGCAUGGAAUAAUAGAAUAGGACGUGCGGUUCUAUUUUGUUGGUUUCUAGGACCGCCGUAAUGAUUAAUAGGGAUAGUCGGGGGCGUCAGUAUUCAGCUGUCAGAGGUGAAAUUCUUGGAUUUGCUGAAGACUAACUACUGCGAAAGCAUUCGCCAAGGAUGUUUUCAUUAAUCAGGGAACGAAAGUUAGGGGAUCGAAGACGAUCAGAUACCGUCGUAGUCUUAACCAUAAACUAUGCCGACUAGGGAUCGGACGGUGUUUCUAUGAUGACCCGUUCGGCACCUUACGAGAAAUCAAAGUUUUUGGGUUCUGGGGGGAGUAUGGUCGCAAGGCUGAAA
rnacentral:rRNA from 1 species